CAUGUCGUGAACUGUAUGAUAAAAAACAAAGAGGCGCCAAAAUGAAAUUUGGGGCGCCAAUCUCUGAUGAUGAUGAUGCCGAAUCAAUUUAUUUUCCCCUAAAAUCGAAGGUAUCUAUCGUCGUCUCACGCUUCUCUUCUCUUCUUGGUUGCGUAUCUGAAAUCCCUAAUUCAUUCUCACUCCCAACCCAGUCCUACCCUAGUAUCUUACACUUCUCUCUCUCUUUCAGCGGCUGCAACACCAUGUGCAUUACCCCAUAUGGCGACAUGGUGGCGCCGCCCUAUUUCAACCACAACAAUGGCCUCUCUCACCCCUGGCAUCCUCUCCAAAAUCUCAGCAACACUGUCGCCGGAGGGUAUCGACAAGAAAGUGGGUGUGAAAGGAGAGAUUGAGGGUUCGGGAAAGGAUGGGUUAGAGAGAGAGAGAGAGUCUGCCUUCUCUCUAGAAAUUGCCUAAAUUUCUAGGGUUUUCUCAUUCAACAUUUCGUUGAUAAUGGCUGAUCUCACAUCUAAUUUACGCAAUUUGUCUUCGAUGGUUGAUGGGUUAGUGACCGAAGGUUCUCCUUCGCCUAAGGGGAGUUCGCACAUCGUGAAAGAUUUACUGUUUGAGAGGGAUUUGUUAACAUUGAUGGACAUCGUGAAGCGAAAUGAGGGUAAAAAUCAGUCUUCUGCCUCUGAGAUCGUUUUGGGUAUGAGCCCUAGGGCUUCGAUUGGGGUUCAGUCCGAGGUCCCUACUCCUAGUUCCUUUGUCGAAGCUAUGGGUGGUCUCUGUUCCGAGAUCCGAGACCUUGCUCAGCAACAAAAGCUUUGUUUUGGGGGAGAAGUGGUGUCGAGCCCUGCCGUUGUUCAUUCACAGCACUGCUACAAAUGUUGAGAUUGAGUUGCCUGUUCCAGCUGAUGCUACCAACGAUGCGUUGAUCUGGAAAAUUAAAUCUUUUCCUGGUGGCAAGGAUGACAUCGUUCAGAGCUGCUAUUGGGAUUCUGGGCAUCCAUUUGAUUUGAAACGAGAAUCUGAGGCAGUACCGCCAGAUGUGACACUUCAGUCUAUUUUAUUUGAGAGCCCUGCUAAGAACAGAUGGGCUUGAUCUCUUAGUGAAUUAGUCAAAUAUGCUGCUGAGCUUUCCCCGGGCUCUGUUCAGAAAGCAAAGAUAUAGGUCGUUCAGCGUCUUGCUCAUAUCACACCUAUGGAGUUGGGUGGGAAGGCUCAUCAGUCACAGGAUGCUGACAACAAACUAGAUCAGUGGCUUAUGUAUGCAAUGUUUGCAUGCUCAUGUCCACCAGAUAGUAAGGAAACUGGUGGCUUAGCAACAACCAAAGAUCUCUUGCAUCUGAUUUUCCACUCACUAAAAUCUGGAUCUGAAGCCCACAUUGUAAGUACAGACUAACUAGAAACUGGUAAUUCUGAGCACAGGAUUUAAGUUGUAUAUUGUUAUCAAUCACACUGUUCUUGAAGAAGCAAAAGUAAAUUGGAAGGGAGAAGUAAUUUCAAACCUCAAAGGAGGGCAGGACUGGAUUAUUAUAAAAUCUUAUUUAUCCUUUUUUUUUUCUCCCUCCAAUCACAAAGCUAUUUUCUUCAAUGUUGACAACUUGGUAUAAAAUUGGUGGAAAAAGCCACGAGGCAGGAAGAAACACUUGAAAGAAACAGAUGAUAAAAAGCUUAAUUGUAGAAAUUGUGGGAUGGAAAUUAGAUGCAUGCUUGUGUUAUAUUGUAACUGAUAAACGUUAUAUCAAACAUUUCUUAGAAUUCAAAAUUACCGCUGGCCGAUUCGGUAAGUUUGUUUUUGCUUUCUCUUUGCUCUCUCUCUCUUUGCUAUUUGCUUUUCUCUCUCUCUCUCUCUCUAUGCUUUUGUCUCCCUCACUAAGUUCAAUAUCUUGUGGAGGACGGUCUUUGAUUGUUUGAGGGCACCGUAGAGACAUUUUUAUAAUCUUCACAUUUUUGAAAUCUUUGCAAUAUCCAUUCAUAUGGAUCUCAGCAGUGUAUCACCUUUCUGUGAAGUGAAUUCCUAAUUAUUGACUAGGCAUUUGAUGAAAGGUAACUGCUGCAAAAAGGCCAAAGAAUAGUGCAUUAGAAGUUGAUCUAGAUUUCGAGCACAAUGUGAAACCUGCCCCUGUAAUCACAAAGGUAUGAUUAGCUAGAGUUUGGUUCAUUUAUACAUACAGACAAGCUUCAAAGAAGUCGAGCUGCAACUAUUCAUGAGCAGUUUGGUUCACUUGCAGCCCUACCCUAGUCAAACAGAUAAUAGUUUGCCAAUAAUACUCACU